UACGAAGGGAGCUAGCGUUGUUCGGAAUCACUGGGCGUAAAGCGCACGUAGGCGGACGUGUCAGUCAGGGGUGAAAUCCCGGAGCUCAACUUCGGAACUGCCUUUGAUACAGCACGUCUUGAGUCCGGAAGAGGUGGGUGGAAUUCCUAGUGUAGAGGUGAAAUUCGUAGAUAUUAGGAAGAACACCGGUGGCGAAGGCGGGUCUCUGGGCCGAUACUGACGCUGAGGAGCGAAAGCGUGGGGAGCGAACAGG
rnacentral:rRNA from 1 species